rnacentral:rRNA from 1 species
AUUGAACGCUGGCGGCAGGCCUAACACAUGCAAGUCGAACGAGUGGCGGACGGGUGAGUAAUGUCUGGGAAACUGCCUGAUGGAGGGGGAUAACUACUGGAAACGGUAGCUAAUACCGCAUACCAUCGGAUGUGCCCAGAUGGGAUUAGCUAGUAGGUGGGGUAAAGGCUCACCUAGGAGACGAUCCCUAGCGGGUCUGAUAGGAUGACCAGCCAAACGGGAACUGAGACACUGUCCAGACUCCUACGGGGGGCAGCGUGGGGGAAUAGUGCACAAUGGUCGCAAGCCUGAUGCAGCCAUGCCGCGUGUAUGAGGAAGGCCUUCGGGUGGUAAAGUACGUUCAGCGGGGAGGCGUUACCCGCAGAAGAAGCACCGGCUAACUCCGUGCCAGCAGCCGCGGUAAUAC